rnacentral:rRNA from 1 species
UCCUACGGGAGGCAGCAGUCGAGAAUUUUUCACAAUGGGCGCAAGCCUGAUGGAGCGACGCCGCGUGGGGGAUGAAUGGCUUCGGCCCGUAAACCCCUGUCAUUUGCGAUCAACCGUUAUUAUUUAAAAGAUGAUGACCUGAUAGUAGCGAAAGAGGAAGGGACGGCUAACUCUGUGCCAGCAGCCGCGGUAAUACAGAGGUCCCAAGCGUUGUUCGGAUUCACUGGGCGUAAAGGGUGCGUAGGUGGCAUGGUAAGUCGGAUGUGAAAUCUCCGAGCUCAACUCGGAAAUGGCAUUGGAAACUGCCGUGCUCGAGGGUUGGAGGGGGGACUGGAAUACUUGGUGUAGCAGUGAAAUGCGUAGAUAUCAAGUGGAACACCAGUGGCGAAGGCGAGUCCCUGGACAACUCCUGACACUGAGGCACGAAAGCUAGGGGAGCAAACAGGAUUAGAUACCCUUGUAGUC